rnacentral:rRNA from 1 species
GAUGAACGCUGGCGGCGUGCCUAAUACAUGCAAGUCGAGCGAACAGACGAGGAGCUUGCUCCUCUGACGUUAGCGGCGGACGGGUGUGUAACACGUGGAUAACCUACCUAUAAGACUGGGAUAACUUCGGGAAACCGGCGCUAAUCCCGGAGAAUAUCUUGCACCGCAUGGUUCAAUAGUGAAAGACGGUUUUGCUGUCACUUAUAGAUGGAUCCGGGCCGGAUUAGCUAGUUGGUAAGGUAACAGCUUACCAAGGCAAGGAUGCGUAUCCGACCUGAGAGACGGGUAGGCGACCUUGGAACGUAGCCGCCGUCCAGACGCCUACGGGAGGCAGCAGUAUGCUACCUUCCGCAACGGGCGGAAGCCUGACGGAGCAGCGCGGCGUGAGUGAUAAAGGUCUUCGGUGCGUAAAACUCUGUUAUUAGUGAAGAACAAAUUUGUCAGUAACUAUGCACGUCUUGACGGUACCUAAUCAGAAAGCCACGGCUAACUACGUG